GCCGCGUGGUGUUGGGACCGUAGCCGUAGUAGGUCAGCGCAGGGGUGACACGGAAUGGGAGCCGGCCGCGGAGGUGGUUUUCCGUGGUCAAGCACGCAGCCAGUCAUGUAGGCAAAUCCGCAUGGCGCGCAUGGCGAGGUGUGAUGAUGGGAGCCGUUAUGGCUCGAUAUCCGGUUGUCCAGGCCGUCGAGAAAAGCCUCGGCGUGAGGGCCAUGGCCGCCCGUACCCCAAACCGACACUGGUGGUCAGGUAGAGAAUACCAAGGCGAUCGAGCGAAUCCUGGUCAAGGAACUCGGCAAAUCACUCCCGUGCCUUCGGUAUAAGGGAGACCCGCUGGGGUGAACCGGCUAGCCCGGGGAGCUUUGGUGGGUGGCACAGACCAGGGGGUAGCGACUGUUUACCAAAAACACAGGUUUGUGCUAAAUCGAAAGAUGACGUAUACGAGCUGACGCCUGCCCGGUGCUGGAAGGUUAAGAGGAGAUGUGCAAGCAUUGAAUCGAAGCCCCAGUGAACGGCGGCCGUAACUAUAACGGUCCUAAGGUAGCGAAAUUCCUUGUCAGGUAAGUUCUGACCCGCAUGAAAGGCGUAAUGAUUUGGGCACUGUCUCAACAGCCCGCCCGGCGAAAUUGUAGUACCGGUGAAGAUGCCGGUUACCCGCGACAAGACGGAAAGACCCCAUGGAGCUUUACUGUAGCCUAAUAUUGGGUUUCGAUGUUGCAUGCACAGGAUAGAUGGGACUCUUGGAAACCAAGGCUUUGGCUUUGGCGGAGAGGCCGUUGGGAUACCAUCCUUGCGAUAUUGGAAUUCUAACCUGCGGCUCUGAAUCGAGUCGGGGGACAUUGUUAGGUGGGCAGUUUGACUGGGGCGGUCGCCUCCUAAAGAGUAACGGAGGCGUUCAAAGGUUCGCUCAGCUUGAACGGAAAUCAAGCAAAAGAGUGCAAACGCAGAAGCGAGCCUAACUGCGAGACUGACGGGUCGAGCAGUAACGAAAGUUGGAGUUAGUGAUCCGGUGGUAUGUGAGUGGAAAUGCCAUCGCUCAACGGAUAAAAGUUACCCUGGGGAUAACAGGCUGAUCUCCCCCAAGAGUCCACAUCGACGGGGAGGUU
rnacentral:rRNA from 1 species